rnacentral:rRNA from 1 species
GACGAACGCUGGCGGCGUGCUUAACACAUGCAAGUCGAACGGAAAGGCCCUGCUUUUGUGGGGUGCUCGAGUGGCGAACGGGUGAGUAACACGUGAGUAACCUGCCCUUGACUUUGGGAUAACUUCAGGAAACUGGGGCUAAUACCGGAUAGGAGCUCCUGCUGCAUGGUGGGGGUUGGAAAGUUUCGGCGGUUGGGGAUGGACUCGCGGCUUAUCAGCUUGUUGGUGGGGUAGUGGCUUACCAAGGCUUUGACGGGUAGCCGGCCUGAGAGGGUGACCGGCCACAUUGGGACUGAGAUACGGCCCAGACUCCUACGGGAGGCAGCAGUGGGGAAUAUUGCACAAUGGGCGGAAGCCUGAUGCAGCAACGCCGCGUGCGGGAUGACGGCCUUCGGGUUGUAAACCGCUUUCGCCUGUGACGAAGCGUGAGUGACGGUAAUGGGUAAAGAAGCAGGGGCUAACUACGUG